CGGACGGGUGAGUAAUGUCUGGGAAACUGCCCGAUGGAGGGGGAUAACUACUGGAAACGGUAGCUAAUACCGCAUAACGUCGCAAGACCAAAGAGGGGGACCUUAGGGCCUCUUGCCAUCGGAUGUGCCCAGAUGGGAUUAGCUAGUAGGUGGGGUAACGGCUCACCUAGGCGACGAUCCCCAGCUGGUCUGAGAGGAUGACCAGCCACACUGGAACUGAGACACGGUCCAG
rnacentral:rRNA from 1 species